GUGCUUGUCUGCUGUCUCCUUCCGCUCAUCUGUGCUGCCUGGAUUAUUGUGUUUUUGGAUCAUUAAAUCAUCACUUCUUCAUUCCAACCUGGGUCCUCAGCGUCUUCCUCACCACCUCAUCUAACCGCAUAUCAUGACAGAAUAGUGAUGAUCAGGUGUUAAGGAAGCCCAGGUUGCUUGAAUAGUAGCCUUCAGCUCUUCUGCAUUUUUGGCUA